rnacentral:rRNA from 1 species
CACGUAGGCACCAAGCGUUGUCCGGAAUUUAUGGCGUAAAGAGCUCGUAGGCGGUUCAGUAAGUCGGGUGUGAAAUUUGGCUUAACCCAAAGCGUGCAUCCGAUACUGCUGUGACUUGAGUACGGUAGGGAGGCGGGAAUUCCGUAGUGUAGCGGUGAAAUGCGCAGAUAUUAGGAGGAACACCGGUGGCGAAGGCGCCGCUCGUGGCGAACUGACGCUGAGGAGCGAAAGCAUGGGUAGCAACAG